rnacentral:rRNA from 1 species
CCUACGGGAGGCUGCAGUGAGGAAUAUUGGUCAAUGGCCGAAAGGCUGAACCAGCCAAGUCGCGUGCGGGAAGAAUGUCCUAUGGAUUGUAAACCUCUUUUGUACGGGAGCAAAGUCACCCACGUGUGGGUGUUGGAGAGUACCUGAAGAAAAAGCAUCGGCUAACUCCGUGCCAGCAGCCGCGGUAAUACGGAGGAUGCGAGCGUUAUCCGGAUUCAUUGGGUUUAAAGGGUGCGUAGGCGGGUUAUCAAGUCAGCGGUAAAAUCGUGGAGCUCAACUCCAGCCAGCAGUUGAAACUGAUGACCUUGAGUGGGCGAGAGGUAGGCGGAAUGCGUGGUGUAGCGGUGAAAUGCAUAGAUAUCACGAGGAACUCCGAUUGCGAAGGCAGCAUACCGGCGUGCGACUGACGCUGAGGCACGAAGGCGUGGGUAUCGAACAGGAUUAGAUACCCUUGUAGUC